rnacentral:rRNA from 1 species
AGUGAGCGCUGGCGGUAGGCCUAACACAUGCAAGUCGAACGGCAGCACAGUAAGAGCUUGCUCUUACGGGUGGCGAGUGGCGGACGGGUGAGGAAUACAUCGGAAUCUACUUUUUCGUGGGGGAUAACGUAGGGAAACUUACGCUAAUACCGCAUACGACCUACGGGUGAAAGCAGGGGAUCUUCGGACCUUGCGCGAUUGAAUGAGCCGAUGUCGGAUUAGCUAGUUGGCGGGGUAAAGGCCCACCAAGGCGACGAUCCGUAGCUGGUCUGAGAGGAUGAUCAGCCACACUGGAACUGAGACACGGUCCAGACUCCUACGGGAGGCAGCAGUGGGGAAUAUUGGACAAUGGGCGCAAGCCUGACCCAGCCAUACCGCGUGGGUGAAGAAGGCCUUCGGGUUGUAAAGCCCUUUUGUUGGGAAAGAAAAGCAGCAGGUUAAUACCCCGCUGUUCUGGCGGUACCCAAAGAAUAAGCACCGGCUAACUUCGUG